UUUUAUCAAUUCAACCACAAUAAACGUAUGUUCUUCUGUCUUCGAUGUAAAAAGAUACAAUCUAGCAUUGGACAGAUUUGGCAAUGUGGUAUAUGUUCCACAGCUUGUAAAAUACGACUCCUACCAAGAAUUUGCGGAAGGUCUGUGCACAGGCACAGAAUGCGUGUCAUCAGCGUCAUGCAAAUGUAAGACCGCACUGUCUGAUUUGGGCAGAAGUAUAGUCACCUAUAUUAGGAGAGGAGAUCCAAAGUUUUACACAACUUGGAUACUUUUGAAUUCCUGUACCGCUUACAUAGACGCCUGAGUAAGAGCGGUAUAAUUGAGAAAAACGCUUACAAUGUUAAAUAAAGUUUUGGAAAAUUCGAUCGUAGGUUAUUAUAGUAAUAUGGUCGUAAAGUCAUUGAGAAUAUAAACAAUAUUAACAAAAAAUCUUACUUCACUGUAUUGUACUGCUACUGUACAGAUAUUUCUAGUGGUAUUUGACGUUAAAGUCGUACUUGUUUUUUUUUCUGCUUGUUCUGUUUACUGUAUAUAUAAGAAAAACAUAGAUUUUGAAUGAUAAUAGUGUUAACCCCAACUUCAGAUUGAAUAAACGUUUCUAGAAAAAAAAAA